GAGAGCAGGGCUCGGGCUUCUGCCCCGACGCGGGGGUGGCGCGCGGGGCGGGCUGUGAGACGGGACGUGGCGGAUCGGCGAGCGGCUGCGUGGUGGGCUGGGGACUGCGGCGGAUUUCCACGGCAGACGCGGGCGUCCCGCCGUCGUCCGCCUUGGUUGGCGGCUUUGCAGCCUGAGUGCGGAUGCGCGGGGAUCUGAGCCGGGGUUCUGUGGGUUUCAGCCAUUGCUGGGUCGGCACCCCGGCGGUCCCCUUAGGGAGUCGGUACGGUCUGUUUGCAGUUGAAUGGUGUCCUUUGGCGCGAAUGUAUUUUCCCUAAGUGGGGCUUUCGUGACCACUAAUAAAACGAACGUCUUCAUAACCGC
rnacentral:lncRNA from 1 species